rnacentral:ncRNA from 1 species
UAUCGUAGCGCCGCGUUCGGUGCUCGCAUGCGCAUUCCGCGCGUGCAGUUAAACGGGAAACAGGAGGCGGACCACCGCCCGGCCUGUGCUGUCCCCGCAACGGUACGCCGCCCGCGCGACGCGCUUCCCCGCGCACGCGCCCAGGCCGCCCUCGAUGCCACUGCCCUUCAGCCGGGCGGGAAGGCUGCGGCCCGGCAAGCGGCCAGCCCGGAUACCGGCCGACGCAAGGGGCGAGCC